rnacentral:rRNA from 1 species
AUGACGCCGCCGUCGCCCUCGGCUCCUCCUCCCAUCGCUCGCGCGCAUGUCGCCGCCAUCGGAGAACAGGACAGUGCGGGUCGCUUCCUCCUUUUCCUCCCGCCGGAUCUAAGGCGUGCGGCCGUGGAGGCGAGCCUCUCCGGUGGCGGCGGCAAAGGGCGACCACAUGGAUCGGUAGAGAGGGAGAGAAGGAAGGAGAGGAGGGAGGCCCGGCGACGGAUGGGAGAGGGUCACCGACUGACGCCGGCGAGGUCAGGUGCGACCUGGUUUGGUGGCGGCUCGAUCCAUUCCUGGAUCCUUCUUUUUCCACUUCCCCACUGCCUAACACCGAGGAAGAGGGCUGGCUGA